UACGUAGGGCGCAAGCGUUGUCCGGAAUUAUUGGGCGUAAAGAGCUCGUAGGCGGCUUGUCGCGUCUGUUGUGAAAUCCCGCGGCUCAACUGCGGGUCUGCAGUCGAUACGGGCAGGCUAGAGUUCGGUAGGGGAGACUGGAAUUCCUGGUGUAGCGGUGAAAUGCGCAGAUAUCAGGAGGAACACCGGUGGCGAAGGCGGGUCUCUGGGCCGAUACUGACGCUGAGGAGCGAAAGCGUGGGGAGCGAACAGG
rnacentral:rRNA from 1 species